rnacentral:rRNA from 1 species
CAAAACGACUCUCGGCAACGGAUAUCUCGGCUCUCGCAUCGAUGAAGAACGUAGCGAAAUGCGAUACGUGGUGUGAAUUGCAGAAUCCCGCGAACCAUCGAGUUUUUGAACGCAAGUUGCGCCCGAAGCCUUCUGGUUGAGGGCACGUCUGCCUGGG